GACUACUGGGGUAUCUAAUCCUGUUCGAUCCCCACGCUUUCGUGCAUCAGCGUCAGUCAUAGUUUGGCAAGCUGCCUUCGCAAUCGGUGUUCUGAGUAAUAUCUAAGCAUUUCACCGCUACACUACUCAUUCCGCCUACCUCAACUAUACUCAAGAUUAGCAGUAUCAAUGGCAGUUCUACAGUUAAGCUGCAGGAUUUCACCACUGACUUACAAAUCCGCCUACGCACCCUUUAAACCCAAUAAAUCCGGAUAACGCUUGGACCCUCCGUAUUACCGCGGCUGCUGGCACGGAGUUAGCCGGUCCUUAUUCCUGUACUACCGUCAAGACCCCUCUCGAGGGAUUGUUUCUUGGUACAGAAAAGAAGUUUACAACCCAUAGGGCCGUCAUCCUUCACGCGGGAUGGCUGGUUCAGGCUUGCGCCCAUUGACCAAUAUUCCUCACUGCAGCCUCCCGUAGG
rnacentral:rRNA from 1 species